UACAGAGGGUGCAAGCGUUAAUCGGAAUUACUGGGCGUAAAGCGCACGUAGGCGGUUUUUAAGUCAGAUGUGAAAGCCCCGGGCUCAACCUGGGAAUUGCAUUUGAAACUGGGGAACUAGAGUGUGUGAGAGGGGGUAGAAUUCCAAGUGUAGCGGUGAAAUGCGUAGAGAUUUGGAGGAAUACCAGUGGCGAAGGCGGCCCCCUGGCACAACACUGACGCUCAGGUGCGAAAGCGUGGGGAGCAAACAGG
rnacentral:rRNA from 1 species